CCUGGUUGAUACUGCCAGUAACAUAUGCUUGUCUCAAAGAUUAAGCCAUGCAGGUCUAAGUGCACACGGCCGGUACAGUGAAACUGCGAAUGGCUCAUUAAAUCAGAUAUGGUUUCUUUGAUCGCUCCCACCCGUACUUGGAUAACUGUGGCAAUUCCAGAGCUAAUACAUGCAAGCGAGCGCUGACUGGGCCCCUUCACGGGGGCCUGCGGAUGCGUGCAUUUAUCAGAUCCAAACACCCAUCCGGGGGCCUCGUGCUUUGGUGACUCUAGAUAACCCCGGGCCGCUCGCGCGCCCUUGGUGGUGACGAUUUGUCUUUCGAAUAUCUGCCCUAUCAACUUUCGAUGGUACUUUCGGCACCUACCAUGGUGACCACGGGUAACGAGGAAUCAGGGUUCGAUUCCGGAGAGGGAGCCUGAGAAAUGGCUAUCACAUCCAAGGAAGGCACCAGGCGCGCAAAUUACCCAUUUCCGAAUUCCGACACAGUGAGGUAGUGACGAAAAAUAACAAUACAGGUCUCUUUCGAGCCCCUGUAAUUGGAAUGAGCGUAUCCUAAACCCAUGGGUGAGGACCCAUUGCAGGGCAAGUCUGGAGCCAGCAGCUGUGGUAAUUCCAGCUCCAAUAGCGUAUAUUAAAGUUACUGCAGUUAAAAGCAAUUUUCUCUCGCUUCUGGUGCCACGCGGUGCGCGAGCCGCCGCAACCCGCUCCGGGGACAGUGGCAGGUGGGGAGUUUGACUGGUGCAGUAUACCUGUCAAACUGUAACGCAGGUGUCCUAAGGCAAGCUCGUGAGGGCAGAAACCUCCCAUGGAGCAGAAGGGCAAAAGCUCGCUUGAUCUUGAAUUUCAGUAUGAAUACGGACUGUGAAAGCUGGUGAACACAGGUUAGCUCGAGGUGGGCACGAUGACCGGUGGUUAAGGGUGCUUGUCCAGAGUUGGGCGUGGUGAGGUCCAGGGCAGUGUGGGCUGAUCCCCUCUGCCUGGGGUAGGCCUGGCGGUGUGGCCCUGGAGGUUUGGCCUGAGUAGGGAAGUCCUGUGCCAGGCAGGCUGUGAGGCAGCGGAAGUCCCCCUGGAGGUCCAGAGGAUCAAGACCUAUUUAUUUAUUCCUUGGUGCGCCAUGGGUGACAGAGAAAAAAGAAAUACUACAGAAACUUAGUCCAAGCCACUUGAGCCGGAGGGGAAAAGACCCGAAAAAGGGGGAAAUAGGCUCAGAAACGC
rnacentral:rRNA from 1 species